ACAGGUCGGCCAUUCUUCUCUCUCUCUCCCUCAUACUGAGCAGUAAGGAGGACUUGUGCGGUAAAAUGAUUCACGGCGCCAUAAAAACGCGAGUUGAUCGAUUUGGUAAUAAGAAAAGGAUCGAUGAAAUAUUCCUCGCUCAUGACUGGUCUCUUUCCGAGCGCACGAGCUGAUAUGACGUUUAUUUUGUGAGGAGUUGUGAGAAACACGUGGAUGCAUGGAGCCUGUAACGCUGUCCGAGGACUCUCGCCUUACUGGCCUGGCCUUCCUCCAGAGCCCCAGCAGUGUGAAGAGCAGGGGAGGGAGGAGACGAGUGGCUCGGACUUAGUUGAAGUAAAAAGGGCAGAGAGGUGUUCCUGGAUCUCGAAUCAACAGCUCACCUUUACUUGUGUUAACAAG